rnacentral:rRNA from 1 species
CCCUUAUAGACGAUGAGGUUGAUAGGUUCGGUGUGGAAGUGCAGUAAUGCAUGGAGCUGACGAAUACUAAUCGGUCGAGGACUUAUCCAC